rnacentral:precursor_RNA from 8 species
CCGACCGCCAGGGCACUUGGGGUGGCGAGGAAACCGUUACCAUUACUGAGUUUAGUAAUGGUAACGGUUCUCUUGCUGCACCCAGAAAACGUGCCAAGAAGA